UUCCGGUUGAUCCCGCCGGACCUGACUGCUAUCGGAUUGAUACUAAGCCAUGCGAGUUUUUGUAGUAAUACAAGGCAGACGGCUCAGUAACACGUAGUCAAUCUAACCUAUGGACGAGGAUAACCUCGGGAAACUGAGAAUAAUACUCGAUAGAUCAUUAUGCCUGGAACGGUUUAUGGUUCAAAUGAAUUUCGCCAUAGGAUGGGACUGCGGUCUAUCAGCUUGUUGGUGAGGUAAUGGCCCACCAAGGCUAUUACAGAUACGGGCUCUGAGAGGAGAAGCCCGGAGAUGGGUACUGAGACACGGACCCAGGCCCUAUGGGGCGCAGCAGGCGAGAAAACUUUGCAAUGUGCGAAAGCACGACAAGGUUAAUCCGAGUGAUUCCUGCUAAAGGAAUCUUUUGUUAGUCAUAAUACCACUAAUGAAUAAGGGGUGGGCAAGUUCUGGUGUCAGCCGCCGCGGUAAAACCAGCACCUCAAGUGGUCAGGAUGAUUAUUGGGCCUAAAGCAUCCGUAGCCGGCUUUGUAAGUUUUCGGUUAAAUCUAUAUGCUCAACAUAUAGGCUGCCGGGAAUACUGCAAAGCUAGGGAGUGGGAGAGGUAGACGGUACUCCGUAGGAAGGGGUAAAAUCCUUUGAUCUAUGGAUGACCACCUGUGGCGAAGGCGGUCUACCAGAACACGUUCGACGGUGAGGGAUGAAAGCUGGGGGAGCAAACCGGAUUAGAUACCCGGGUAGUCCCAGCUGUAAACUAUGCAAACUCAGUGAUGCAUUGGCUUGUGGCCAGUGCAGUGCCGCAGGGAAGCCGUUAAGUUUGCCGCCUGGGAAGUACGUACGCAAGUAUGAAACUUAAAGGAAUUGGCGGGGGAGCACCACAAGGGGUGAAGCCUGCGGUUUAAUUGGAUUCAACGCCGGGA
rnacentral:rRNA from 1 species